GCGAACAGAGCUCCCCUCCCUGAUCGGCCAGAUCAAAAAUCAGUUUGGAAUCUUCUCCAUAUUUCCCCGUGAGAGUUUCUCUCAACUCAAAAGCUGGAGUAUCCAAGGAUGUGGCACCAUGCCGCUCAAAAACCCCCUCUAUAAUUGAAAAUGCUUUCUUUCUAAUUGCCAUUUGUUCUUUCGCAAAAUCCCGAGUGCCCUUGGGAAGCUUCGGCAGCCUCCUACUUUCGUUGCUUUCAACUAUCUCUUUGAUUUUCUUCAAUAGAUUAUCAAACUCGGAAGCCUUCGGAUCCAAAAAGGAUAAAAGAUCUUUUACCAAGUUCUCCAAUGACACCAGACCUUUAGCCUGCAAUCUAUCUUUAAUCAAUU
rnacentral:misc_RNA from 1 species